UGCCAGCCGCCGCGGUAAUACGGAGGGUGCAAGCGUUGUUCGGAAUUAUUGGGCGUAAAGCGCGUGUAGGCGGUUCGUUAAGUCUGAUGUGAAAGCCCGGGGCUCAACCCCGGAAGUGCAUUGGAAACUGGCGAACUUGAGUACGGGAGAGGAAAGUGGAAUUCCGAGUGUAGGGGUGAAAUCCGUAGAUAUUCGGAGGAACACCAGUGGCGAAGGCGGCUUUCUGGGAAGUUAUUGACGCUGAGGCACGAAAGCGUGGGGAGCAAACGGGAUUAGAUA
rnacentral:rRNA from 1 species